rnacentral:rRNA from 1 species
GGUUAAGCGACUAAGCGUACACGGUGGAUGCCCUGGCAGUCAGAGGCGAUGAAGGACGUGCUAAUCUGCGAUAAGCGUCGGUAAGGUGAUAUGAACCGUUAUAACCGGCGAUUUCCGAAUGGGGAAACCCAGUGUGAUUCGUCACACUAUCAUUAACUGAAUCCAUAGGUUAAUGAGGCGAACCGGGGGAACUGAAACAUCUAAGUACCCCGAGGAAAAGAAAUCAACCGAGAUUCCCCCAGUAGCGGCGAGCGAACGGGGAGGAGCCCAGAGCCUGAAUCAGUGUGUGUGUUAGUGGAAGCGUCUGGAAAGGCGCGCGAUACAGGGUGACAGCCCCGUACACAAAAAUGCACAUACUGUGAGCUCGAUGAGUAGGGCGGGACACGUGGUAUCCUGUCUGAAUAUGGGGGGACCAUCCUCCAAGGCUAAAUACUCCUGACUGACCGAUAGUGAACCAGUACCGUGAGGGAAAGGCGAAAAGAACCCCGGCGAGGGGAGUGAAAAAGAACCUGAAACCGUGUACGUACAAGCAGUGGGAGCCUCUUUUAUGGGGUGACUGCGUACCUUUUGUAUAAUGGGUCAGCGACUUAUAUUCUGUAGCAAGGUUAACCGAAUAGGGGAGCCGAAGGGAAACCGAGUCUUAACUGGGCGUUAAGUUGCAGGGUAUAGACCCGAAACCCGGUGAUCUAGCCAUGGGCAGGUUGAAGGUUGGGUAACACUAACUGGAGGACCGAACCGACUAAUGUUGAAAAAUUAGCGGAUGACUUGUGGCUGGGGGUGAAAGGCCAAUCAAACCGGGAGAUAGCUGGUUCUCCCCGAAAGCUAUUUAGGUAGCGCCUCGUGAAUUCAUCUCCGGGGGUAGAGCACUGUUUCGGCAAGGGGGUCAUCCCGACUUACCAACCCGAUGCAAACUGCGAAUACCGGAGAAUGUUAUCACGGGAGACACACGGCGGGUGCUAACGUCCGUCGUGAAGAGGGAAACAACCCAGACCGCCAGCUAAGGUCCCAAAGUCAUGGUUAAGUGGGAAACGAUGUGGGAAGGCCCAGACAGCCAGGAUGUUGGCUUAGAAGCAGCCAUCAUUUAAAGAAAGCGUAAUAGCUCACUGGUCGAGUCGGCCUGCGCGGAAGAUGUAACGGGGCUAAACCAUGCACCGAAGCUGCGGCAGCGACACUAUGUGUUGUUGGGUAGGGGAGCGUUCUGUAAGCCUGUGAAGGUGUACUGUGAGGUAUGCUGGAGGUAUCAGAAGUGCGAAUGCUGACAUAAGUAACGAUAAAGCGGGUGAAAAGCCCGCUCGCCGGAAGACCAAGGGUUCCUGUCCAACGUUAAUCGGGGCAGGGUGAGUCGACCCCUAAGGCGAGGCCGAAAGGCGUAGUCGAUGGGAAACAGGUUAAUAUUCCUGUACUUGGUGUUACUGCGAAGGGGGGACGGAGAAGGCUAUGUUGGCCGGGCGACGGUUGUCCCGGUUUAAGCGUGUAGGCUGGUUUUCCAGGCAAAUCCGGAAAAUCAAGGCUGAGGCGUGAUGACGAGGCACUACGGUGCUGAAGCAACAAAUGCCCUGCUUCCAGGAAAAGCCUCUAAGCAUCAGGUAACAUUAAAUCGUACCCCAAACCGACACAGGUGGUCAGGUAGAGAAUACCAAGGCGCUUGAGAGAACUCGGGUGAAGGAACUAGGCAAAAUGGUGCCGUAACUUCGGGAGAAGGCACGCUGAUAUGUAGGUGAAGCGACUUGCUCGUGGAGCUGAAAUCAGUCGAAGAUACCAGCUGGCUGCAACUGUUUAUUAAAAACACAGCACUGUGCAAACACGAAAGUGGACGUAUACGGUGUGACGCCUGCCCGGUGCCGGAAGGUUAAUUGAUGGGGUUAGCGGUAACGCGAAGCUCUUGAUCGAAGCCCCGGUAAACGGCGGCCGUAACUAUAACGGUCCUAAGGUAGCGAAAUUCCUUGUCGGGUAAGUUCCGACCUGCACGAAUGGCGUAAUGAUGGCCAGGCUGUCUCCACCCGAGACUCAGUGAAAUUGAACUCGCUGUGAAGAUGCAGUGUACCCGCGGCAAGACGGAAAGACCCCGUGAACCUUUACUAUAGCUUGACACUGAACAUUGAGCCUUGAUGUGUAGGAUAGGUGGGAGGCUUUGAAGUGUGGACGCCAGUCUGCAUGGAGCCGGCCUUGAAAUACCACCCUUUAAUGUUUGAUGUUCUAACGUUGGCCCCUGACCGGGGUUGCGGACAGUGUCUGGUGGGUAGUUUGACUGGGGCGGUCUCCUCCUAAAGAGUAACGGAGGAGCACGAAGGUUGGCUAAUCCUGGUCGGACAUCAGGAGGUUAGUGCAAUGGCAUAAGCCAGCUUGACUGCGAGCGUGACGGCGCGAGCAGGUGCGAAAGCAGGUCAUAGUGAUCCGGUGGUUCUGAAUGGAAGGGCCAUCGCUCAACGGAUAAAAGGUACUCCGGGGAUAACAGGCUGAUACCGCCCAAGAGUUCAUAUCGACGGCGGUGUUUGGCACCUCGAUGUCGGCUCAUCACAUCCUGGGGCUGAAGUAGGUCCCAAGGGUAUGGCUGUUCGCCAUUUAAAGUGGUACGCGAGCUGGGUUUAGAACGUCGUGAGACAGUUCGGUCCCUAUCUGCCGUGGGCGCUGGAGAACUGAGGGGGGCUGCUCCUAGUACGAGAGGACCGGAGUGGACGCAUCACUGGUGUUCGGGUUGUCAUGCCAAUGGCACUGCCCGGUAGCUAAAUGCGGAAGAGAUAAGUGCUGAAAGCAUCUAAGCACGAAACUUGCCCCGAGAUGAGUUCUCCCUGACUCCUUGAGAGUCCUGAAGGAACGUUGAAGACGACGACGUUGAUAGGCCGGGUGUGUAAGCGCAGCGAUGCGUUGAGCUAACCGGUACUAAUGAACCGUGAGGCUUAACCUU